UACGGGGGGGGCAAGCGUUGUUCGGAAUUAUUGGGCGUAAAGGGCUCGUAGGCGGUUUGUCGCGUCGGGAGUGAAAAUCCAGGGCUUAACUCUGGACUGGCUUCCGAUACGGGCAGACUAGAGGUAUGCAGGGGAGAACGGAAUUCCUGGUGUAGCGGUGAAAUGCGCAGAUAUCAGGAGGAACACCGGUGGCGAAGGCGGUUCUCUGGGCAUUACCUGACGCUGAGGAGCGAAAGUGUGGGGAGCGAACAGG
rnacentral:rRNA from 1 species